UACGUAGGGGGCAAGCGUUGUUCGGAAUUACUGGGCGUAAAGGGCGCGUAGGCGGCCUUCUAAGUCGGACGUGAAAUCCCUCGGCUUAACCGAGGAACUGCGUCCGAUACUGAAAGGCUUGAAUCCGGGAGAGGGAUGUGGAAUUCCAGGUGUAGCGGUGAAAUGCGUAGAUAUCAGGAGGAACACCAAUGGCGAAGGCAGCUCGCUGGGACGGUACUGACACUGAGACGCGAAAGCGUGGGGAGCAAACAGG
rnacentral:rRNA from 1 species